CAGCAGCCGCGGUAAUACGAAGGGUGCAAGCGUUACUCGGAAUUACUGGGCGUAAAGCGUGUGUAGGUGGUUGUUUAAGUCUGUCGUGAAAGCCCUGGGCUCAACCUGGGAAUUGCGAUGGAUACUGGGCGACUAGAGUGCGGUAGAGGAUAGUGGAAUUUCCGGUGUAGCAGUGAAAUGCGUAGAGAUCGGAAGGAACAUCUGUGGCGAAGGCGACUAUCUGGGCCAACACUGACACUGAGACACGAAAGCGUGGGGAGCAAACAGGAUUAGAUACCCCAGUAGUCCCUGUCUCUUAUAA
rnacentral:rRNA from 1 species